GACGAACGCUGGCGGCGUGCUUAACACAUGCAAGUCGAACGUGAUUUUUGUGGCAAUUCUUUCGGGAAUGGAAAUGAAAUGAAAGUGGCGAACGGGUGAGUAACACGUGAGCAACCUACCUUACUCAGGGGGAUAGCCGUUGGAAACGACGAUUAAUACCGCAUGAGACUACAGAAUCGCAUGAUAUAGGGGUCAAAGAUUUAUCGGUGUAAGAAGGGCUCGCGUCUGAUUAGCUAGUUGGAAGGGUAAAGGCCUACCAAGGCGACGAUCAGUAGCCGGUCUGAGAGGAUGAACGGCCACAUUGGAACUGAGACACGGUCCAAACUCCUACGGGAGGCAGCAGUGGGGAAUAUUGCACAAUGGGGGGAAGCCUGAUGCAGCGACGCCGCGUGAGUGAAGAAGGUUUUAGAAUCGUAAAGCUCUGUCCUACGAGAAGAUAAUGACGGUAUCAUAGGAAGAAGCCCCGGCUAAAUACGUG
rnacentral:rRNA from 1 species